rnacentral:lncRNA from 13 species
GGAGGGUUUUGGAAGUGAAAACAGAUUUUUUGUAGGAAAUUCCUAAUCCUUCUCCCCUUUGAUUACAGCUCGGAGCACCACAUCUGCACCAAGAUCAACAUCCAGGAAUUUCACACUUAAUUUCACCUUGACCAACCUCCGCUACACUGCAGAUCUGGAUGACCCAAAUUCCCGCAAAUUCAAGUCCACAGUGAAAGUUAUGAACCACUACCUUGACCCUCUUUUCAAAAGGAGCAGCAUAAGCUCUGCCUACACAGGAUGUAAAACCAUGAGAUUUAGGUAAGACUCAGAAUUCCAGAAUCCCAGGGCGGGUCAGGUUGGAAGGAACCUCAGUGGGUCACC